rnacentral:rRNA from 1 species
GAAUUAACAAAAUCAUGGCACUACCGUGGCAUAAUUUAGCCCGUCGAUACUAUCCUAGCAGAUUACCGGUCUCGGCCAGUAACCAAAUAUGCGGGAAUUGUAGCAUCGUAAUAAUAACAAUAAUAUAUUACACGCACAGCCCAAUAAAGUCGUACUGGCGCACCUUGUAAACACACAGCGUCUCCUCGUUGGAAAACAAGUAUAUAUCCUCUUUGGAUAUGCCAUAGAGUGUGACAGCCACGUUUGACUCAUUCAAGCACCGUAGGCACCACUUACACACACAUACUUACUUAUGUUGGCGCGCCGCGAAUAAAAAUAUUUUUUUAUAACCCGAGUCGAGUUGUUUGGGACUAUUGCUCUUAUAGUUUGGUUGGUGGUAAUGACCCACUCCACGGGAGCUAAAUAUUGGUUAGUCCAUGCAUAUUGCGGAAACCGAUAGCAUACAAGUCCCGUAAGGAAACGAUGAAAAGCCCCCUAUUGAGUUCACGGCGGACACUCUCCUGGGUGCCCCGGGACUUGCUCCGGCGCCCAACAUCUACGGGGGGAGUAGAGUGAGAAAGUAGGU